CUUGUGCACAUUAUUUAAAAAUCAGUUCAUGCCAGGCACGGUGGCUCAUACAUGUAAUCUCAGCACUUUGGGAGAGAAGGUUGCAGUGAACUGAGAUUACGCCACUGCACACCAGCCUGGGCGACAGAGCGAGACUCUGUCUCAAAAAAUGAAAUAAAAUGAAAUAAAAUAAAAUAAAAAAUAAAUAAAUAAAAUAAAUCCUCAGUUCAUGUGGCCACUUUCCCUCUCCCUUUCCAUCACAUAUUAUUUCCAAUUGUUUAGUAGAGAUACUGCCUAUUAUCACCUUACAACCACUUUCCCUUCAAGAGACUAUCUCUGGCAUCUUACCUACCUUUUCUUUGAAUUUUAGGAACUCUGUACUCCACUUCUCUACAUUCCGGCUUUGUUCCAUAUUCCUCUUCCUGCUUAUUAGUCUGCCAGCUAUCAUUUACAAAACAACCACUUUGUAUCAGACACUAAGAACAUAAAGUAAUUCCAGUCUCUGCCCUCAAGAAGAUUACAUUAUGGUGGC
rnacentral:antisense_RNA from 1 species